rnacentral:rRNA from 1 species
AGGGCGUACGGCGGAUGCCUUGGCCAUAUCAGCCGAUGAAGGACGCGAUAAGCUGCGAUAAGCUGCGGUGAGGUGCAAGUAACCUUUGACCCGCAGAUCUCCGAAUGGGGAAACCCGGCGUGAGUAGUCACGUCAUCCUCGAUGAGGAUGGGUACCCGGUGAACUGAAACAUCUAAGUAGCCGGAGGAAAAGGAAUCAACAGAGAUACCCCUAGUAGCGGCGAGCGAACGGGGCAGAGCCCAAACCGGAUUGGGAAACCAGUCCGGGGUUGCGGACUGCUAACAAGUGCAGGCGUGAAGCAGAACCGGUUGGGAAACCGGGCCAGAGAGAGUGAGAGCCUCGUAAGCGCAAGCAAAUGCACGGAGCAGGAUCCAGAGUACCACGAGACACGAGAAACCUUGUGGGAAGCAGGGGGGACCACCCUCCAAGGCGAAACACUGAUAUGGACCGAUAGCGAAUAGUACCGUGAGGGAACGGUGAAAAGAACCCCGGGAGGGGAAUGAAAGAGAACCUGAAACCGUAUGUCUACAAGCAGUCGAAGCACUUUUUAGGUGCGACGGCGUGCCUAUUGAAGAAUGAACCGGCGAGUUGCUGGUGCUAGCGAGGUUAAGCAGAAAAUGCGGAGCCGCAGCGAAAGCGAGUCUGAACAGGGCGUAUAGUUAGUAACAGCAGACCCGAAACCACAGUGAUCUACCCAUGUCCAGGUUGAAGCACAGGUAAAAAUGUGUGGAGGACCGAACCAGUGAGCGUUGAAAAGCUUUUGGAUGAGAUGUGGGUAGGGGUGAAAUGCCAAUCGAACGUGGAGAUAGCUGGUUCUCCCCGAAAUAGCUUUAGGGCUAGCCUCAUGGCGAGAGUACAGGCGGUAGAGCACUGAACAGGGUAGGGGCCUAUCCGGCUACUGAACCUAAUCAAACUGCGAAUGGCUGUACUUAUCCAUGGGAGUCAGACUGUGAGUAAUAAGGCCCAUAGUCAAGAGGGAAACAGCCCAGACCAACAGCUAAGGUCCCCAAUGCCGUACUAAGUGGCGAAGGAUGUGGAAUUUCAAAAACAACCAGGAUGUUGGCUCAGAAGCAGCCACCAUUAAAAGAGUGCGUAAUAGCUCACUGGUCGAGAGACUCUGCGCCGAAGAUGUCCGGGGCUAAAGUACGGAACCGAAGCUUUGGCAAUUAACUUAUGUUAAUUGGGUAGGGGAGCGUUCCUGCAUGGGAGAAGCCUGACCGGAAGGACAGGUGGACAGGCAGGAAGAGAGAAUGCCGGUAUGAGUAGCGAAAAGAAGGGUGAGAAUCCCUUCCACCGAAAGCCUAAGGGUUCCUGGGCAACGAUCGUCGUCCCAGGGUAAGUCGGGACCUAAUCCGAGGCGGAGACGCGCAGGAGAUGGACAACAGGUUGAAAUUCCUGUACUGGCUGAUUUCGUUUGAGCAAUGGAGUGACACAGGAAGGAAGGCGCGCGUGCGAUUGGAAGAGCACGUCCAAGCAGGUAGGUGGGAAGAUAGGCAAAUCCGUCUUCCCGAAAGCUGAGAUGCGAUGGGGAGCGACUGGAAACAGUCGUGAAGGGGCUGGCACUAAACUGUCGAGAAAAGCUUCUAGUGAGAAAUCAGGCACCCGUACCGCAAACCGACACAGGUAGGCAGGAUGAGAAUUCUAAGGUGCGCGGGAAAACCCUCGUUAAGGAACUCGGCAAAAUGUAUCCGUAACUUCGGGAAAAGGAUAACCCGGCGUACGUGAAGUGCAGAAGCGCACGGAGCGGAACCGGGUGGCAGAAGAGAGGCCCAAGCGACUGUUUACCACAAACACAGGCGUCUGCUAAAGCGAAAGCUGAUGUAUAGAUGCUGACACCUGCCCGGUGCUGGAAGGUUAAGAGGAAGUGUUAGCGCAAGCGAAGCAGUGAAUUGAAGCCCCAGUAAACGGCGGCCGUAACUAUAACGGUCCUAAGGUAGCGAAAUUCCUUGUCGGGUAAGUUCCGACCCGCACGAAAGGUGUAACGACUUGGGCACUGUCUCAACGAGGGACCCGGUGAAAUUGAAAUACCUGUGAAGAUGCAGGUUACCCGCGACUGGACAGAAAGACCCCAUGGAGCUUUACUGUAACCUGAGAUUGGAUUCCGGUAAGAGAUGUACAGGAUAGUUGGGAGGCUGAGAAGCAAGUACGCCAGUAUUUGCAGAGCCGCUGGUGGGAUACCAACCUUGUUUUAUUGGAAUUCUAACGAGAAGCCUAACAAGCUUGCGGACAGUCUCAGGCGGGCAGUUUGACUGGGGCGGUCGCCUCCGAAAGAG